AUGCCAACAGGAAACUGACCAGCAGAAUAUGAGCACAACAUUGUUCAUGUUCCCUAUGACACUGAAAGAAUUCUACUUGACUGAUAUUACAGGUUCUGCAAGCUGAAUGCCCACCCACAGAGUUGACUGUAUACCCCAUUGCUUUAUGAGUCACUUUGUGUGACUAGUAGCUUGGAUGAACUUCCUUUUCAACAGUUUCUGCAGAAGGCUCCUUUCAGAGCAUUCUUUAGCGAACAGAUGGUGCCAAAGGAAUGGAUCAGAACUGCCUGGUUAAUUAAGCGAUGUAAGGAAGUCUAGCAUCAUUUGCCUGCAAAGAGGAUAACCACAGUGGGGAGGGAAGAAGACUGAUAUCAAUUUUCCCUCGUCAUAUUAUCACUCAAACUAAACCUACAGGCAAUCUGAUGCCCAACCAGACUUCAACUGCAUUUUCCACUUCAGAGAUGGUCAUGCUAGCAUUCGUAGUCAAAAUAAAGAAUUUUGUGAAGCCUUAAAA